GUAAAAUGUUUAGAAGAAAGUUGGAAAUUUUCGCAGGCUGAUUUUAUCAACUUAGUGAUAUCAAGUUCACGUUGCUGUCCUUUCACUACAAUUAAUGUGGUCAAGGAAAGAACUUAAUGCAAGGUCAUGCAUUUUCCAGGUCUCCAGAAGGUCAUUAUUGAGAAGUCACUCCCACAUUACUGGCGAUCAACUUUAAGAUCACCCAGCUUUGAAAUGUCUUUUCAGCUUAAAGCACUGAUCUAUAAACCUAAUGCGCCUUCAAAGCCUACUUUGUGGGAGAAGCAAUAAAUGUAUUUAAGGUUUGUAAUUACUUUGCCAUUUCCAUCUCAUGGGACCAAAGAAAGAUAAUCCAUUGUGACAUGCAAACAGUUUGCCUCUUGAACUUAAACUAAAAUCUGCUGGCAAACCCAAACUGUUUGUCAGUUUAAUUAAAAGCUUUUGGCUACAGGUCAAUAACCAUCUUACUUCCUCUACUUGUGGGACAACAUCAUUUACAUUCGCAGUUUCCCUUUGCCACUUUCAUACACUUCAGGAAGUUUGAAAAAUAUAAUAAUUUUAUUCAAAAUAUUGUAUAUCACAGUCCAUCCAUUAACCUACAUCAACCUGCAACACCACAACAUACACUUCCUCUCCACAGACCCUCAGUACUCUUCAUCCCUCACACAUCGCCACUUUACACUUACACUCCACUCUUCAUAGCUGCACUGACAUAGUCACUGCUGUACUCUGCUCUUACCUAAAAGUUUUUCUUUCCAAGAGUCACUUUUUCAUUUUAUCCUGCACCUAGCAUUGCUUCAUAAACAACCAAUCAGUCCAUGUGUUUAAGCUAAUCAUAUGUAUACACUGCCACAGUCAAACAGCUACUUAUAUAUUGCUUCUAUAUCUAUAUUGCGACGCUCUGGGGAGGGGUGAGUUCGACAGCCUGUCCCUGCAUUUCUAAUGAACAAUACUGUUUAUUACUCUUAUGUUAAAAUGCUUUUGUGGGAUUAAGGUCAGGAGUUACAGUUCAUUUAUUGUUACAUUUUAGCUUGGGUUAUACAGUUAUUCACUUGUGUACUUGUGGGUCACCCUGACUGUAACCGGGGUGUGUGAUGGUCACCUCCCCCGUCUGUGUGAGACUGGUUGGGUUCACUCUCCAGGGCAUGGUGCCCGGUCUGUUUUGUGUCUAUCACAAUAAAGCAGUUGUU